rnacentral:rRNA from 1 species
CCUACGUGAGGCAGCAGUGAGGAAUAUUGGUCAAUGGGCGGAAGCCUGAACCAGCCAAGUCGCGUGAGGGAAUAAGGCCCUACGGGUCGUAAACCUCUUUUGCCGGGGAGCAAGGGCGGGGACGUGUCCCGGCCCGGAGAGUACCCGGAGAAAAAGCAUCGGCUAACUCCGUGCCAGCAGCCGCGGUAAGACGGGGGAUGCGGGUGUUAUCGGGAUUUAUUGGGUUUAAAGGGUGCGUAGGCGGGCUUUUAAGUCAGCGGUAAAAAGUCGGGGCUCAACCCCGUCCGGCCGUUGAAACUGGGUGCCUUGAGUGGGCGAGAGGUAGGCGGAAUGCGUGGUGUAGCGGUGAAAUGCAUAGAUAUUAGGCAGAACCCCGAUUGCGAAGGCAGCCUUCCGGCGCCCUACUGACGCUGAGGCACGAAAGUGUGGGGAUCGAACAGGAUUAGAUACCCGGGUAGUC